rfam:Dipodomys ordii contig_39631, whole genome shotgun sequence.
GGUGACUCAGUGGUAGAGUGUUUGCCUUGCAUGCAUGAGACUCUGGGUUCAAUUUCUCUGCACCA